rnacentral:siRNA from 1 species
UCAUCUACUCUUGUUCUUGACGAA